CAGCCGCCGCGGUAAUACGGAGGGAGCGAGCGUUGUUCGGAAUUACUGGGCGUAAAGCGAGCGCAGGCGGUUUGAUAAGUCUGAAGUUAAAGGCUGUGGCUCAACCAUAGUUCGCUUUGGAAACUGUCAAACUUGAGUGCAGAAGAGGAGAGUGGAAUUCCACGUGUAGCGGUGAAAUGCGUAGAGAUGUGGAGGAACACCAGUGGCGAAGGCGACUCUCUGGUCCGUAACUGACGCUGAGGAGCGAAAGCGUGGGGAGCGAACAGGAUUAGAUACCCCCGUAGUCCCUGUCUCUUAUACC
rnacentral:rRNA from 1 species